UCUCCGUUGGUGGACCAGCGGAGGGAUCAUUACCGAGUUUACAACUCCCAAACCCCAUGUGAACCUUACCAAACGUUGCUUCGGCGGGAUGCCCCGGGCGCGGGCAGCAAGGCCUCAGCCCCGGAACCAGGCGCCCGCCGGAGGCCCAAACCAAACUCUUGUUUUUGUAGAAUCUUCUGAGUGGCCUUUUAGGCAAAAAAUGAAUCAAAACUUUCAACAACGGAUCUCUUGGUUCUGACAUCGAUGAGGAACGCAGC
rnacentral:misc_RNA from 1 species